rnacentral:ncRNA from 1 species
ACCGGAUCUAGCCUGACGGGGCGAAAAGCGGCAAACCUUACCGCCUGAUCUGGUCAUCUUUUUAAGG